AUUGAACGCUGGCGGCAGGCCUAACACAUGCAAGUCGAGCGGAUGACGGGAGCUUGCUCCUUGAUUCAGCGGCGGACGGGUGAGUAAUGCCUAGGAAUCUGCCUGGUAGUGGGGGACAACGUUUCGAAAGGAACGCUAAUACCGCAUACGUCCUACGGGAGAAAGCAGGGGACCUUCGGGCCUUGCGCUAUCAGAUGAGCCUAGGUCGGAUUAGCUAGUAGGUGAGGUAAUGGCUCACCUAGGCGACGAUCCGUAACUGGUCUGAGAGGAUGAUCAGUCACACUGGAACUGAGACACGGUCCAGACUCCUACGGGAGGCAGCAGUGGGGAAUAUCGGACAAUGGGCGAAAGCCUGAUCCAGCCAUGCCGCGUGUGUGAAGAAGGUCUUCGGAUUGUAAAGCACUUUAAGUUGGGAGGAAGGGCAGUAAGCGAAUACCUUGCUGUUUUGACGUUACCGACAGAAUAAGCACCGGCUAACUCUGUGCCAGCAGCCGCAGUAAAAC
rnacentral:rRNA from 1 species